AGAGUUUGAUCCUGGCUCAGAGCGAACGCUGGCGGCAGGCCUAACACAUGCAAGUCGAACGGUUCCUUCGGGGACAGUGGCAGACGGGUGAGUAACGCGUGGGAACGUGCCCUUCGGUUCGGAAUAACUCAGGGAAACUUGAGCUAAUACCGGAUACGUCCGAGAGGAGAAAGAUUUAUCGCCGAAGGAUCGGCCCGCGUCUGAUUAGCUAGUCGGUGGGGUAAUGGCCUACCAAGGCGACGAUCAGUAGCUGGUCUGAGAGGAUGAUCAGCCACACUGGGACUGAGACACGGCCCAGACUCCUACGGGAGGCAGCAGUGGGGAAUAUUGGACAAUGGGCGCAAGCCUGAUCCAGCCAUGCCGCGUGAGUGAUGAAGGCCCUAGGGUUGUAAAGCUCUUUUGUCCGGGACGAUAAUGACGGUACCGGAAGAAUAAGCCCCGGCUAACUUCGUGCCAGCAGCCGCGGUAAUACGAAGGGGGCUAGCGUUGCUCGGAAUCACUGGGCGUAAAGGGCGCGUAGGCGGACGUUUAAGUCAGGGGUGAAAUCCCGGGGCUCAACCUCGGAAUUGCCUUUGAUACUGGAUGUCUCGAGACCGGAAGAGGUAAGUGGAACUGC
rnacentral:rRNA from 1 species